GACAGAGGUGCCGAGCGUUAGGCGGAAUCACUGGGCUUAAAGCGUGUGUAGGCGGAUGCCUAAGUACCUUGUGAAAUCCCACGGCUUAACCGUGGAACUGCUUGGUAUACUGGGUGUCUUGAGCCACUUAGGGGCGACCGGAACAAACGGUGGAGCGGUGAAAUGCGUAGAUAUCGUAAGGAAGACCAGUGGCGAAGGCGGGUCUCUGGACAGUUCCUGACGCUGAGGCACGAAGGUCAGGGGAGCAAACGGG
rnacentral:rRNA from 1 species